rnacentral:tRNA from 1 species
GCCGCUGUAGCUCAGCUGGCUAGAGCAGCUGAUUUGUAAUCAGCAGGUCGGGGGUUCGAGUCCCUCCAGCGGCUCCA